ensembl:lncRNA
AUGCUACGUCGAAGGAAGGCCUGCCCGACAAAUCUACGGCCUGUCCCUCUGACCUCUGCUACAAUGCUCUCUAUUCCAUUUGGUCUCUGGAACUGCCAGUCUGCUGUUAACAAAGCAGACUUCAUAUCUUCUAUUGCUACUCAUUCCGGUCUCAACCUCAUGGCACUGACUGAGACCUGGAUCAAACCUGAGGACACUGCCACUCUCGCAGCCCUCUCCACUAAUUUCACUUGUUCCCACACUCCUCGUAUGACUGGGAGGGGUGGAGGUACUGGUCUCCUUAUAUCGAAAGAUUGGAAAUUUGAUCUUCAACCACCACCUACAGGUCAAUUGGGAAACUUCUUGGAGGAGUUGGACAUGCUGCUCAUUACUGCUAACCUAGCACUUACUCCUGAAGCGGCACACGCUCCAACGCAGGUCACCUUUCGACGGAACCUACGCUCACUCUCUCCAUCUCGCCUAUCCUCUGUGGUUUCAUCCUCACUUCCUUCACUCUCGCAGUUUUCAGCUCUGGACACGAACAGUGCUACGGAUACUUUUUGCUCCACUCUAACCUCUUGCUUGGACAACUUUUGCCCACUGUCGUCUAGACCAGCACGCACCACCCCAUCUGCCCCCUGGCUGUCCGAUGUUCUCCGUGAAUAACUGUUGUAACGCUCGGACACUCUUCAAAACCUUCUCUUCUCUUCUUAAUCCGCCUCCACCUCCUCCUCCAUCAACUCUUACAGCUGACGACUUUGCAGUUUUCUUCACAAAUAAGACAAGAACCAUCAGUGACCAAUUCUCCACACCGCAGACUGAGGAUAACUUCACAACGACUAAUGAAGUAGCCGCUCGCAUCAAAUUCAAGGUACUGAUGCUUGCCUACAAGACGACCACUGGCACGGCGCCAACAUACCUAAGCUCAUUAGUUCAAUCUUAUGCGCCCUCCAGAAGUUUGCGCUCUGCAAGUGAACGACGCCUUGUGGUGCCAUCCCAAAGAGGUUCAAAAUCACUCUCAUGGACUUUUUCCUGGACUGUGCCCAGCUGGUGGAAUGACCUCCCGAUCUCAAUUCGAACAGCUGAGUCUUUACUCAUUUUCAAAAAACAUCUAAAGACUCAUCUUUUUCGCCUGCACUUAACCAACUAAUACUAGUACUUACCUUUUCUUUUUCUUGUCUAUCAUAUUCUUAAAAAAAAAAAAAAUAAAAAAACCCUGGCUACGUGUUCUGUACUUUGUAAGUCGCUUUGGAUAAAAGCGUCUGCUAAAUGAUUAAAUGUAAAUGUAAAAUGUUACUGGGUUGAAAUAUGCAGCCUGCACUCACAGCAGCCCUACUCUUUUUAUUCAUUAUUUUCUCGCAGCCCAUAUUAUUAUUUUCACCAGACCAUAAUAAUAACAAAUUCUCAAUUGAUAUGUAAUCAUUCUUUUUGCGAAAAUCAUUGUUAUUUGUGAAUGUAGGCGUUUGAAGCAGGCUUUAAGACCAAGCAGAAUCCUCCGUCAGCUGCUCUCGCUUCACAGCGAGCGCAACUUACGCUAACUGCACCCAGGUUCACCGUCAGCGUUCUGAUUGUACAAAAUCAGUUUGGGUGAAUGGAAUUUAUUUAUCAUGAGCCCAGCAUUUAGCAAGGCAGGAAAACAUUCAGUCUACCUGAAGGAAGACGUAUUUCAUUAUAAGUUAAUGCUGUUAAAUAGAGAGUAAAAAAAAAAAAAAACCUACUGUAGGCUAUUCUUAAACUUGGACCUCAUUAUUGAAGUACAAAUCCAAACACCAGAAGCAACCUACACUCUCUAGGUGUUCUUUCAUCGAAAAGUAUCCAUUUUUAUUCAUUCACAGGAUAUACGGUUGAAAUAAUAUUUUAGUUCAAAACUUUAAGUGCCAUGGUUUAAAAAAAUGCAUCAUAGAAAUGUUUCCUAGACCUUCAGUUGUUAUGCUUUAAAAUUCCAUGCCAUUUGUAAUUUCACAGUAUUUUCACCUCCUAAAUUACUACCCUUGUAAAGUCACAAUUCUAAAGUGGUAAAAUUUACUCAGGCCGAUGGCAUUUUUUGAAUGAUUUUUUUUUUUUUUUCAAUAAUUGUACAUAAAUGGGUGACGCAAAACAAAUAUGAUUAUUUCUGAUAACUUUUUAACUGCACGCAGAUAUAGACCUACAUUAUUGUACAUUACAAAUAGUUGGAUCGUCCCUUUUCUUAAAGAAUAAACACUUAUUUUCUACAAGAAUAAACACUAUUUUCUUGAAUAAAAGAGAAAGAAUCACAAUUAGCCCUUAUUUUCCAUUUCUGAACCCUAAUGAUAAUCUAAUUAUCUUUUGACUCACCUGACAGUGGGACCUUCCAAAAAAAGGAGUGGAUAUGGAGCGAAUUAUAGAUUUAAAAAAGAAAAAAGUGGGUGCUCGGUUUUGAUUUUUUUAAAAAUCAACAAUUCCUGUAUAAAAUGACAGCAACCUUUAUAUCAAACAUUUUUAAAUCGUCCACAGCUGAGCAAAGCGGGAGGCAGGUUCAGCGCCAGAGCGCACAAAGUGAAUGCACAUGCACAAUUUUUAGGGGGGAGGAGGCUUUUUUGUUUCUUAAAAUAAUUUUCAGAUGCAAUGGAAAAAAAACUGGAUAAAAACAUACACGAAACUUGUAAAUAGUUAACAACUUAGCCUAGAUUAGGCCCAGACUCUGUUGCUAAGUAUACUAUAAUCUAAAUUUGUUAACCCACAGUAACACAUUUUAACUGAUUAAUUGCCUAUUUUCGUUUGCUUCAUGUUUUUUAAAAACACACUAAAAAUAAAUCAACUUUUUGAGAGGAAAAAAAUAUGUAAGUCAUGUACAAGUCGCAUUUUAUUACAUUUAGAAAUAAUAACGGCAGGCCUAAUAAUGUUAUAGACUAAUGUACCAACAGGAUAAAUAUAGUUCCCUUCACUUUACAACAUAUCUUAUAAAAACAGUACAAGAAUUAAAAAUAUAUAAUUCUAAUGGAUAAAUAAAACUGCAGUAUAUAAUAGUAAUAUAGGCUUAGCUAUAAAAAAAAAAAAAAAAAAUUUGUUAAUAAUUUAAAGCGAAAUAUAAGGUAAGGUUGGACUUACCUUUCUCUUUCGGGACAAAUCCAAACGUUUCCAUAUUCGUCAUGUUGCCCAUUUGAAGCUAAACUAUUAUUCAUUAGGUAGAAUAGGCUUUGUAGUUCACGCGUGUUUCAGUAUAGAUGGGAAAAAAUCAUAAUUAGCAAAAAUAUGGCAAAGUGGACUGAUGCUCAUGGUGAAUGGCUGCGCUGUUUAUAAUGAAUAUGAGGUACCAGCGCAAUCAAACAGCUGAAACAAAUAAUACUCCACUUUUGGUCACACAGUAAAGGCUCAAUUCAAAAAUGCAAAGUGUUAGCAGUUUGGAAAAUCAAGAAUAAUAGUAUAAUUCUUGAAAUCAAGAAAAUCAAGAAUAAUAGAGUUAAUAAGAAUUAUUUCUAAAUGCUGGACUGUUCUCAUUUCGCUCUGGAUAUGGAACCUGAAGGAUAUAUAUAUAUUUUUUUUUUUUUUUUUUUGCCAAGAACGAACUGAAAUGAAAACAUUUACCUUUUAAUCUGUGUAUUUAUAUAUAUAUUGUGACGCGUGUCCCGAGCUCUCAUCAGCGUCGCCCUGAAGACAGAGCAGGCACACCUGCACCUGCUCAUUAUGGGCUGAGCGGUCACACCUGCAGCCCAUUGCAGACGGGCUUUAUAAGCGGCACCGACGAACACAGAGGGGUGAGAUGUCUCCCAAGGACUCAGCUAACGAUUCUCUGUGUUUCUCCUCCAGACAGCAGCGUGUGACCGCCAGCCCGCUAAAGACACGGACCUCACGGACCCACGCAGCACUGCGCACCGAGGGAGGAAGAGAAGGCUGAGCACUGAGCACCGGAACCCCUCACGUUGGCUAUUUUUCCCUGCACCACCUCAAUAAAAUCCACCCUUCGGGGAACUCAACUUGAUCCUCGUGUCGUGUGCUUCUUCACCCCGUCACACUGGUGGAGAAUGCGGGCAUAACAGUGAAGAAGUUACCGACCAGGAUCCCACCACAUUCACUCUCACCGGAUCAGUUUUCUCACGUCCCCUUCCUGUUUCCCCAGGUGGCGCUCCUCCCCCAACGAUGGAAGAUCUGCUGAAGCACCUCACCGAGGUGAGCAUCCGCCAGCAACAGAUCAUGGAGCACAUGGCCUCCCGACAAGGGGAAACGGAACGAGAGCUCGCUGCCAUCCGCAUGGCCGCCGCCCCGCGAACUCUGCUACCUGACCCCCGAGCCCAGGCUACCCAGCUCAUCCCGAAGAUGACGGGGCAUGAUGACAUCGAGACCUUCCUUCAGAUGUUCGAGGCGAUCGCUGCCCGGGAGGAGUGGCCCAGGGACGAGUGGGCGCGGAUCGUGGCGCCGUUGCUGACGGGAGAGGCGCAACGGGCAUACUUUAUGCUUGGCCCCGAGCGGAGUAGCUCUUAUGAAGAUUUGAAAAAGGAGAUCUUGGGGCGGGUUGGACUGUCGCCCAUUAGCGCCGCC